rnacentral:lncRNA from 1 species
UUGAGAUUUCAGGGAUUUGUAACCAUUUUAAUGAUAAGCCACAUAAAGCUUUCCUGAAGGCACGAAAGGAUUGAGUGGUCUCCAGCAAUGCUGAACAUUACACAGCGGGGCAGGGGAGGAGGAAGGAGGGUGAUGUGGGCAGGAUUUUAGGUGCAUGAGGGACAUGGGGUGUUUCUCCACACCCGGGAGGACAGGCACGUGUCCCCUGCCCUCUCUCGCUCUCAUCAAGUGAGAGAAUUAUCCCUUCACAUCAUUAAUAUUUUGCAUUUGCAAUAAGGAGAAACAACUGCAGAGGGCAGCAGCGAGCCAGAGAGCGAUACCACAGCGGGUAACGCUGCAUCCUGCCCCGGCUCCCGCUGCCGGGGGAACCGGGCUGGCACCUCCUGGGGCUGGGAACCACCGGGGGGGUUCCUGGAGAGGCUGUGGACAAGCUGGGACGUGGAGGAGCCGAUGGUGGCAGCGCCUGAUCUGAGCUGUGAUGGUCUCUGUAAGGUUUUGUCCCUCUCUGCUCAUGCCCAUCACAGAGGAGCCACAUUUCACAGUGGGCUCCUGGGGCGUGCAAAGGGGUUUAUAGCAGCUUCUGGACAGGGCUUGGAGCAACCUGCUCUAGUGGAAGGUGUCCCUGCCCCUGGCAGGGGGUUGGAACUGGGUGAGCUUUAAGGUCCCUUCAACCCAAACCAGUCUGGGGUUCUGUGAUUCUAUGAUUCUGGUUUUCCAGGCAGGACAUCACAGAUCUGAAAGCAGGGUUCCAGCCCCAGAGCACCAGGCUGCAAGCCCAAAGGGUCUGUUUGUGUCCUCUCUUCCUGCUUGCUCACACCUGGGAGGCCUCCCCCUGCCUGGAUGGCAGCAGGGCUGUGUAAGUAAGUGGAUCGUGUCUGCAAAAGCUUUCUGUGGGAGUGUAACUAUCACUCCCUACAGCCAGCACAGAGCCGUGGCAUAUAGAGACGGGGCUAUUUUUAGCAUAUAGAUAUUUCUAAAUAUUUACAGGCAGUUGUCUGAGCUUUCCUACAGCUCAGAUGCAGGUCAGCAGCUGCGGGUCCUGGGGAUGUGAGCGGUGGCUGUGUGAGCUCUGACUGGGGCCCUGGGGGUCCUUCCUCUCCUUCCCUCCCUCGACACGCUGUGAAGCAGCUUUAUCUGCUUUCCCAACAGAAGUGGUUGCUCUGAGCGAGCAGAACGUGCCAUGCCUUUGUAUCAGCUACAUGGCCAGGGAAUGAGGCAGCUCAUUGGUCUCCUCUUGCUUUCAUCCUGUUUGCUGCUGCUUUACUUCCCAUGGGAACAUCCCUCUGCAUGAGCCCGGCAUGGCCCAGCAGCUCUUGCUGGGGUUCAGACCCCAAAGCGGUGGGACAGUGAC